ACAAGAACAGCGUUUAAGUGUAUAAUCUAUGAACAGCGUCUUUCUAUUUUUUCCCGCUGGUAGCCUAAGGGACUAUUCCAAAAUAAUAAGUGUAUAAUCUAUGAUUCCAAUUUCAACUACUCGUGGAUGGGUCGCAAUACAGUACACCAUAAAGUACUGUGAAGGAGCCAUGGAUUAUGAUUUGAAGGGCCAGACAACUGUUCCUGUAUUUUCUUUUAAAUAUGAAUAGAUCCAGAACCAUGUUCUAAAAUAAUCCUAUUAACGUACAUUUUUCACAUUUUUACUUCCAAGGCAUAGAUGUGUGUUGUUUUAUUUUCUCAUCAUUACAAUUACAAGUGAAUUGGUGAAUUGGGAAGGCCUAUGUCCAGCAGUGGACGUCCAUGGGCUGAUAGGAUAGCUUUUUUAGGUAAUCUUCAUAUAUUUUAUUAUUUAUGUUUCCUUUUACCUUAAUAACCAGCAUAUCAAUGACUCGAAUAUCAGUCACAUGUUUGUUCUUAAUGAAGAGUUCUUUCAAUUUCUCUCGACAUUGUGCUUCUGACUUGGGAAUGUCAUAAUCCUUCACUGAAAACAUUAUUUAUAUAUUUAAUUAAUAACAGUUAUUUACUGAAAGAAUAGGAAACAUUUCUAUCGACUAGUAUUGUGAUAUUUAGUUGAAAUGAAGCCAUUUGCGGAGUAA